UACGAAGGGGGCGAGCGUUGUUCGGAUUUACUGGGCGUAAGGGCGCGCAGGCGGCUCGUUUUGUCAGGCGUGAAAGCCCCGGGCUUAACCUGGGAACUGCGUUUGAUACGGACGGGCUAGAGUUCGGGAGAGGAGAGUGGAAUUCCCAGUGUAGAGGUGAAAUUCGUAGAUAUUGGGAAGAACACCGGUGGCGAAGGCGGCUCUCUGGACCGAGACUGACGCUGAGGCGCGAAAGCGUGGGGAGCAAACAGG
rnacentral:rRNA from 1 species